CCAAAAGUGACUCCAUGCCAAAGCAUUGUUUUGCUUGCUUCAAUCUAGUUCAACAUGACAACUGGACAAGGUUGGUGCUGUUUUUAUUCUGUCUACACCCUUCUCUAAACUGCAAGAAAGCCUAACAGUCCCAGUUAUAGGGGCUAUUGUUUUUAGCACAAUAUAAAAGGAUUUGUGUUUCUGAUCUAUAAGCACUCUAUGACCACCGCCUCAGCUGGUGUAACUCACCGUACCACAAAUGAAGUCAAAGGCACAUUGUGUACUGACUUACACUGACUGAAGAGAUGGCCUGCUGAAGUUAUGACAAAGUCAUGCUUUGAAUUGAUAAGAACCACCAAAUUAUGCAGAAAGCUAACUUAAGUAAUCAGAUGUUUACUUGUUGCCCUUGGACUCUCUCCUUCCUGUUGCUGAAUCUUCAGAAUGGGAGAUCAUCGGCCGGCCUGCCUUCCUGUCUGGAGAAGAAACACCCCUGAACCUUGAACCCGAGUAGGGCCUCUCAGUGCUCCUGCAAUACAGUACAUAAUAAUGAUUGUGGUAAUAAAUCUAUUUGUGCUCUCACAGUGUAUGAGAACUAUUAAAGCAGCUAAA